rfam:Schistosoma mattheei strain Denwood, Zambia genome assembly, scaffold: SMTD_scaffold0009496
AUCUAGCUGACGAGUCCCAAAUAGGACGAAACGUGCGUCCUGGAU